AACUCUUAGCGGUGGAUCACUUAGCUCAUGCCUCGAUGAAGAACACAGCUAACUGUGUUAAGCCGUGUGAAUUGCAGACCUUGUGAUCACUGGCUUUUCGAACGCACAAGGCGGUCUUUAAGCUUAGGCUUUUAGGCUGCGCCUAGAUCAGGGUUC
rnacentral:rRNA from 1 species